rnacentral:rRNA from 1 species
UUGGAGGGCAAGUCUGGUGCCAGCAGCCGCGGUAAUUCCAGCUCCAAUAGCGUAUAUUAAAGUUGUUGCAGUUAAAAAGCUCGUAGUUGAAUUUCGGGGUCAGUAGAUUGGUCGUGCCACUGGUAUGUACUGGUCUUACUGGCUCCUCCUUCCUGAUGAACCGUAAUGCCAUUAAUUUGGUGUUGCGGGGAGACUGGACUGUUACUUUGAAAAAAUUAGAGUGUUUAAAGCAGGCUAACGCUUGAAUACAUUAGCAUGGAAUAAUGAAAUAGGACGUUCGAUCUUAUUUUGUUGGUUUCUAGGAUUGACGUAAUGAUUAAUAGGGAUAGUUGGGGGCAUUAGUAUUCAAUUGUCAGAGGUGAAAUUCUUGGAUUUAUUGAAGACUAACUACUGCGAAAGCAUUUGCCAAGGAUGUUUUCAUUAAUCAAGAACGAAAGUUAGGGGAUCGAAGACGAUCAGAUACCGUCGUAGUCUUAACCAUAAACUAUGCCGACUAGGGAUCGGAUGAUGUUAAUUUUUUAAUGACUCAUUCGGCGCCUUACGGGAAA